rnacentral:rRNA from 1 species
UUUGGUGGCGAUAGCGAAGAGGUCAUACCCGUUCCCAUACCGAACACGGAAGUUAAGCUCUUCAGCGCCGAUGGUAGUUGGGGGUCUCCCCCUGUGAGAGUAGGACGCCGCCAAGC